rnacentral:rRNA from 1 species
CGGGAGCUUGCACAGGUGCUGCAUGGCUGUCGUCAGCUCGUGUCGUGAGAUGUUCGGUUAAGUCCGCUAACGAGCGCAACCCUCGCUGUGUGUUAUAUGUGUCACACGGGACUGCCGGUCUUAAGCCGGAGGAAGGUGGGGAUGAUGUCAAGUCAGCAUGGCCUUUAUAUCCUGGGCUACACACACGCUACAAUGGCCAACACAAUAGGUUGCUAAGCCGCGAGGUGGCGCCAAUCCAUAAAGUUGGUCUCAGUUCAGAUUGUAGGCUGCAACCCGCCUGCAUGAAGAUGGAGUUGCUAGUAACCGCAGGUCAGCUAUACUGCGGUGAAUACGUUCCCGGGGCUU